GAUCAUGGCUCAGGAUGAACGCUAGCUACAGGCUUAACACAUGCAAGUCGAGGGGAAACGACAUCGAAAGCUUGCUUUUGAUGGGCGUCGACCGGCGCACGGGUGAGUAACGCGUAUCCAACCUGCCCACCACUUGGGGAUAACCUUGCGAAAGUAAGACUAAUACCCAAUGACGUCUCUAGAAGACAUCUGAAAGAGAUUAAAGAUUUAUCGGUGAUGGAUGGGGAUGCGUCUGAUUAGCUUGUUGGCGGGGUAACGGCCCACCAAGGCGACGAUCAGUAGGGGUUCUGAGAGGAAGGUCCCCCACAUUGGAACUGAGACACGGUCCAAACUCCUACGGGAGGCAGCAGUGAGGAAUAUUGGUCAAUGGGCGAGAGCCUGAACCAGCCAAGUAGCGUGCAGGAUGACGGCCCUAUGGGUUGUAAACUGCUUUUAUAAGGGAAUAAAGUGAGCCUCGUGAGGCUUUUUGCAUGUACCUUAUGAAUAAGGACCGGCUAAUUCCGUG
rnacentral:rRNA from 1 species